rnacentral:rRNA from 1 species
CCUACGGGUGGCUGCAGUGGGGAAUCUUUCACAAUGGGCGAAAGCCUGAUGCAGCAACGCCGCGUGAGCGAUGAAGGCCUUCGGGUCGUUAAGCUCUGUCCUUAAGGAAGAUAAUGACGGUACUUGUGCAGGAAGCCCCGGCUAACUGCGUGCCGGCAGCCGCGGUAAUACGUAGGGGGCUAGCGUUAUCCGGAAUCACAGGGCGUAAAGGUUACGCAGGUGGGUUCUAAAGUCUGAGGUGAAUGGGUGCGGCUAAACCGUAGUAAGCCUUUGAAACAGGGGAACUAGAGUGAAGGAGAGGAGAGUGGAAUUCCUGGUGUAGCGGUGAAAUGCGUAGAUAUUAGGAGGAACACGAGUGGCGAAGGCGGCUCUCUGGACUGUAACUGACACGGAGGCACGAAGGCGUGGGGAGCAAACAGGAUUAGAUACCCUUGUAGUC